CCAGUAUCAGGUGACAUGGUCACAUGUCCUGUGAGACCCCAGCCUUCAUUCUUCCAGGGCUGGCCGGCACACACCCAGGAAGAUUUGCAAGUAAACAGAGCAUUUACAACCAAUUGUCCUAAUAAAAGGGAGCCAUCAAGAUUAUAAACCACCAUCAAUGGCCCACACUUUGCAUAAUUACAAUAGAAGUUCGGAGAUAUUUUUCAUUU